GCAUCUCAGGGACGAGGGCGGAGGGAGAUAAUCAUAGCACCAACUUGCUGGCUACAGAGACUGCAAGUCUGGAAAAGCAGCUGUAAGGAUGGGGAGAAGUGAUGCUGAUGACAGAUAAAGUCCUCCGAUGGGAAAGAGCCUGGUUUCCACCUGCCAUCAUGGGUGUGGUUUCUUUGGUGUUUCUGAUUAUCUACUAUCUAGAUCCAUCUGUUCUGUCUGGUGUUUACUGUUUUGUUAUGUUUCCGUGCUUGGCUGACUACCUUGUUCCCAUUCUAGCGCCUAGAAUUUUUGGCUCCAAUAAAUGGACUACUGAACAGCAGCAAAGAGUCCAUGAAAUUUGCAGCAAUCUAGUAAAAUCUCGAUGCAGAGCUGUGGGCUGGUGGAAAUGCCUCUUCACACUAAAGGAAGAAAAGCCUAAAAUGCACUUCAUGACCAUGAUCAUUUCUCUUGCUGCGGUUGCUUGGGUGGGACAACAAGUACAUAACCUGCUUCUCACCUACCUGAUAGUGACUUUCUUACUGUUGCUUCCUGGACUUAACCAACAUGGAAUCAUCUCAAAGUACAUUGGAAUGGCCAAAAGGGAGAUAAACAAACUUCUCAAACAAAAAGAAAAGAAAAAUGAAUAAUUCAUCUGCUUUGUUCCGUGUGAUAAUGGGAUGUGCAUUGCCCUUGGGAACAGUUUCUAUUAUACAGUCUGGAAACUAAAAGGUUACAGAAGUAGCUCUUUGCCUCUCCCUCAUUGUACCCCUAGAUAAUAGAAAUUCAGACUCACUGUGUAUGGCUUUGUGCUAGUGUCUUCUUGUCCAGUGUAGUUGGGUACAUUCUCAUCCAUUGGGCUUACGUGGACAACUCAUUAGCAAGUAUGAGUUAUUUUGAUUUUUCUCACCCAGCGUUAAUUGGAUUCUUAAUUUUUUAGACAACUUCAUUUAGGAUAAUAUGGUGGUUGACUUUACUUUAGUGUGAUUAAAGUCACCUUGGAUAAUCGUUGGAGCUGAUCUUUGCUUUAGUUAGAUACAGAGUAGUGGUCUGUGGCCACAGGAAGCUGGUUCUACUGUCUGCUUUCACAGUCUGCUUGAAAAACUGACUUCAGGACCAUAGAGACCAGGUUUACCACUUCUGAU